UAAAUAUCCUUUUCCCAUUCACUCUCUGUAAUUCCUAUUUUCUCUCUCUUCCCAUUUUUUUAAUGUAAUUUGCCUUUUUUUCCUCUAGGUAAACUGUCCCCUCUCUCCUCAAUUCCUAGGCCCAAUGCACUCUUUCCCUGAAAGUUUGAAGAGGAUUAUUCUCUUCAGGUUAUUAUCGUCAUGCAUUACUUGCAUUUGCAAAUUAAUACUUCAUCAAUUCCUGUCGAAGAUUAAUGGUCACAUGAAUACUUCAUCAAUUCAUGUUGAAGAUUAAUGGUCAAAUGAAUACUUCAUCAAUUCAUGUUGAAGAUUAAUAGUCUUCAGAGAGAUGGUUCAGUUUCCCUUACAAAUGAGUGUUCUUGAAAGAGCGAAAAUAAGAGAGUUUUGUCCAAGUUCAGUUUCAUGGAUUCAUGGUUAAUUUUCCCUUCUUCAAGUUGUAGGAGUAAUUGAUGAUUCACAGUUCUCAAUUGAAGAAGAGGAAGCAGAUUGCACUGUUUCCUUUUGCCCAUAGCAACAAGACGAUGCUAUUUGCCCGAACUCAUGUUCCUUUUUCGCUUCUUCAAGUUGCAGGAGUAAUUGAUGAUUCACGGUUCUCAAUUGAGGUUACAGGAGUAAUUGAUGAUUUACCAUUCUCAAUUGAGGAAGAGGAAGUAGAUUGUACUGUUUAUUACUCUUGAUUCACAGUACUCAAUUGAGGAAGAGGAAUCAGAUUGCACUGUUUCCUUUUGCCUGGCAAGAAGACGAUGCUAUUUGCCCGAACUCAUGUUCCAUCAGGCUUCAGCCAUGACAGAAAGGAAGAAACAUCUCUUUGCAAUCCUCUGCGCCCUUCUUUUGAUCUUCACGAUCUCCGGUUCUUCAUCCUCAUUCAAUCUCUACUGCCUUUUAACUGCUGGCUUGCCUUCAAAUUUUGUUCAUAAAGGCCCUUCUUAUCCUCCUGUGUUGGCUUAUUGGAUUUCCGGCUCUCAUGGUGACAAGCGUAGAAUUCUUCGCCUUUUGAAGGUAGUUUACCACCCAAGAAAUCAGUAUCUUCUUCACCUUGAUUCGGAAGCCUCUGUAGCAGAGAGAGAGGAAUUAUCAAGAGAGGUUCAUGCUUUUAGGGUUUUCAUGGCUUUUGGGAAUGUUGAUAUUAUUGCAAAGGGUGAUCGUGUUGAUUUUGCGGGUUCAUCUUGUUUGGCUUCAAUGCUUCAUGCCUCGUCCAUUUUGCUUGGGGUUAGUAGUAGUUGGGAUUGGCUCAUUACUCUUACGGCAUCGGAUUAUCCCAUUGUAACACAAGAUGAUUUACUCCAUGUCUUCUCAUUAGUGCCGAGGGAUUUGAACUUCAUAGAUCAUACCAGUGACCUUGGGUGGAAAGAGGAUCAGAGAGUCUGCCAGAUUGUAGUGGAUCCACAGCUCUAUUUGGUAACAAGAUAUGAUAUUUUCCAUGCAUCAGAACGGAGACCUACCCCAAAUGCUUUCAAGUUCUUCACAGGUUCCCCAUGGCUUAUUCUUAGCCGGGUCUUUGUGGACUUCUUGGUAUUGGGUUGGGAUAACCUCCCUCGAACCCUCCCCAUGUAUUUCACUAAUGUAUUGAUCGCCAAUGAAGGCUAUUUCCCCACACUUAUCUGCAACUCUGUGGAUUUUCAAAACAAAACAGUCAAUAGUGACCUUCGACACAUGGUUUGGGACACCCCUUCUAAACCAAUGCCUCACUAUUUAGGUGUAGAAGACUAUGAUAAAAUGCUAGAGAGUGGAUAUGCCUUUGCUAGGCAGUUUAAAGAAGAUGAGCCAGUUCUUAAUAAGAUUGAUAAGCGGUCUUGAGUCGUGGGUCCAAUCGAGUGGUUCCUGAUGGCUGGUGUUUGGGUAGUAGGUGGGGUGACCCAUGCUCAAGCUGGGGUGACCCCAAUGUUUUGAAGCCUGGUCCUCAGGCUAAGAGGCUUGGUGCUUUGGUGUCAAAGCUGCUCGCAAAUGGGACUUUAGAGUCUAGGCAGUGCGUGUGAGUUUCCUUUCUCUCUCCCCCCAUCUCCUCUUUUGAGAAGGCAUCUUGAUGUGUUGCAAUUCUUUCUCUACCCUUUUAUGGGUCAUCAAUUUUCUCUCUCGUUUUUAAGGGUCUCUCUCAUGCUAGGUUCUGAUGAGACUCUCUCAGGGGUUAUUGGUUAUGGUUACUCUUUCAGGGGGUUUGUUGGUUCUCCACUCUUGUAAUUGUUUUGGGAAUUAAAUUAGUUUUGUGGUGAUUUGAGGUAUUUUACUGGAGCAAAGUUGUGGUCUUGUGGAGGGCCGAAGCAAUAAGGGGGGAAUUUAACGUGGGCAAUUUGCAUGGUUCGGUGGCGCAUAGUGGGUAUCAUCACCUUUUUCAAUUUGUUCUUGUAUACUUAGAUGGGAUGAUUGAAGAGCGUAAAUAUAGUUGCUGCAAUGCCUAUCAGCGUAUUCAGGAUCCUAUAGGUCGUUAAACUGGUGGGACUGGUCAUGUCAUUUGCAGAAAAUGUAUCCGUACACUUUUUUGGGUUUCAUUUCUAGACCCAAGGUUUUAAAACAUUUGUGGUAUAGAGAUUCAUAUAUUAUAUUUUCUAACCUCUGGAUUAGCUUUGCCUAUCUUUUUAGUCCAAACAAAAGUUCGAAUGAAUUUUUUUUUUCUAUUAUUUUAUAAACCCCUUGUCUUUCUCUCUUCUCAUUUUUC